AUGCUAAUCUAUAUCUAAUUAAAACUUAAGCAUGGAUAUGAUGAAUAGUUGCUCUGCCUAAUUUGCACAUUUUAAGUUCUCUCUCAAGUUUAGAUAUAACUGUGAUAAUUUAAAGCUUGCUCUAGACCUAAACUUGUGGGAUGAAAACUUGAUCUGAAGUCUAAGUUGUUAACAGAUACGAUAUGGGAAGGUUGAGCUGCUAUUUAUCUGUUCCUAGAGAUGCUAGAAUUCUGGAGAAUUUUAUUUUUGAAAAUCUUUUAAAAUGUUGCCUGAUGAGUUCCUGUAUGAUGAGAGUUUAAAUUCCUACCACAACCAUAUAUACAUGCUUGCUAGACUUUGAGCCACACAUUUACUAUUUACUGCUUAUGAGCAUUGAGUGUGGUCAAGCUGUGUAGACCCUUAGGAACUUGUCAUGUGGUUAAAUCAAGAUUUCACUUGCACGUUCACUCAUAUAUGCUACUUCUACUCCGGAAGUACCAUCCACCUAUAUCCAUCCAUUUCCAUCUCCAGAAUCACCCAAAAAUAUUCUACUCCUAAUCUGGGAGAGAAUAACCAAAAAUAUUUCUGUUUUUCCCUUGUGAAAUAAAUGCUCCAGUUAUCUUGUUACUACCACUUGCUAUAUUAUCUCAUGAGAUGAGUGCUUUCUAAAAAAAAGAGAGAGAUACGAGGAAAUAAAAAGGAGCAAGUGCUCAGAACCUCGGAAGAAAAAGAAAAAGUGAGACGAGAGGUAAAAAUGGACAAGUGUCCGACAGUAGAAUUAGGGGUGCAAGAUACCCACCUGAGAGAAAAGAAAAAGAAGAGCAUCUCAUUCUCCUCAUAAAGUUUCAAAAGCAAGAAAGGUAUGUAUCCCCUCAAAAAAGCAAAGUAGAAUUAGACUUCCACCACCAUUGUUUUCGCUAUCGUUAUCACCAUCAUCACCAUACAUCAUUCAUUCGCCACACAUGCACAUCUUGAUUUGGCUUAUUGGCUUGUUUCUUUGGAUCCAUGGUUUGACUAUGCAAUACAUGUCUUGUAAGUAUGUAUACUUUAUCUCCCACCUAUGAGCUCCAGAUAUUAAAGCCUUAUUAGAGUAGGGUGAGAGAGAAGACAAUGUCACUAUGCUUCAUACCACAAAUACUACAUAUCUUGAGAGAAGGCAUAUACCAUUACUGCUUUGGUAAGGAUCCAGAAAUACCACAAAAGAGAGAUCUGAGAGAAUCAUACAAGGAAUCUCUGAGUUUUAUUUGAAAAUCUGCAAAAAAAACCCAGAGCUAUAGCUGAUCAAGAAUAAGAGACAUGGCACUUGACUAGACUGUUCUAUCUUUUAACUACUCAAGAUAGAAGUGACGGUUACAAGUCCCAUGGUGAAGGUAAAGUAAGUAAGUUUUAAGUCUUGACAGUUUACUCUAACUCAGAGAUGAGAUCUUAUUUAAAAAGCAUGUGUACUGCCAAUUUUUUUUUUUUUUAAAAAAAUAAUAAUAUUGCAACAACUUAUGAUCCAUAGCUGAGUCUAUCCUUGCUCAGGGACGAGCAAGAGGUAAGCUUGGGGGAGUUUGUUGACGGUCCUUAAGUAUCAAAUUUAAUUAUCAAAUAAAUAAAGAAAAGGAUCCAAAUGAAAUCAACAUCUAAACUUAGGGUUUUAUCUGACAGAAUUCCACGAGUUUUGGUGUUUGUCUAUUUCUGCAGGGGGUUAUCAGGAAAUACGGAAAGAAAGGCCCACACGUCGGGAUUACAUAGAGAUAUUAACGUGCCGCACAAUUAUCUUACAUCUAGAAGACUCCAGAAGCCACGAGACCGAAGCGGAGGCGAAACGGGGCGUGACCCUGGGCGCCCGCCCAGUUGAUCAGGGCGCCCGCCCAGUUGAUCAGGGCGCCCGCCCUGCCUCUGAGUCCAAUCAGGACUCUGCUUUGCGGGAGAUCUCCACCGACCUAAAGGAUGAAUCUAAACCAUACAAUCUAUGUCAGUUUGAUCCAACGGCCCAUAUUCACUUGAAGGGACUAUAAAACCAGACCCCCUGGCCCCUGGAGGAGAGAGCCUCUCAACCCUAAUUCAUUGUUCCAUCAAGGGAGAAGAAGCCUCUGAUCAAGAUUAGAGCCACCACAUCAAUUAGAUAUCUAGAUUAGCAUAGCUACAUAGGAUUAGAACUAGAAGGAGUCAAUCUUCGAUUGGUUUCCGGAUCUGUCAAGAAGAUUCUUGGUAAUUCUCUAAUUGUGCUUCUAAUUCCUUUCUAAUUAUCUUUAUUCUUCAAUAUUAUGAAUAUGACUUUGUUCUACUUCAAUAUAUUGCUUAUGACUUUGCUCUACUUGCUUAUAUUCAAGAUUAUAUUGUUCUUAGUUUAUCAU
rnacentral:lncRNA from 1 species